rnacentral:tRNA from 1 species
GCCUGGCUGGCUCAGUCAGUAGAGCAUGUGGCUCUUAAUCUCAGGACUGUGAGUUGAAGCCCCACGUUGGGCA